rnacentral:tRNA from 1 species
GGUGGGGUGGCCGAAUGGCGAGGCAACGGCCUGCAAAGCCGUGUACGCGGGUUCGAUUCCCGUCCCCACCU